CAUCCGAGCAGACCCGUCCCUCCACGCCUCCAACGCUCGCCCCCAAUCCAUCCGUGGUUAGGGUUUGGGGCACGGCCUCGUCUCCGCCACUGGGGCAUUAGUUUGGUCCAUUCCGUGACCAGAGAAAAUGAGUAGAAGGGGAUGAGGAAGGAGGAGAAGGUGUAGACGGACGAGAAAGACAAGAAACAGGCAAGGGAGGUGGGGCGAUCUUCAUGCCUAUGGAGAUCUAAAUGUUUCUUGUUUAAUCUUUUUUUUAUGUUGCAUGCUCUCUGAUUUUAGAGUAGAUUGCUUUACAGCAUGUUGAAUAGAUUUGGGCCUGUUCAUUUUUCUAUGGUGACUAGGAUUUGACCAGAGAAAAGAGGAACGCUUUCUUAAAAAGAAAAUCUAUGGUGCAACCAUCGUCCAUGUCCAUCAAAUCAGCAGCAGCUUGGGUCUGU